AGCAGGGCAGGAAGCAGAGCAGAGGCCAUGGAGGAAGGCUGCUUAUGAGCUUGCUCUCCAUGGCUCGCU
rnacentral:miRNA from 14 species